UCUCCCAGCGCCAGUGUGGGUGCUGCGGCUGCAUCUCACCUUGAUUUGCUGCGUCCAUCCUCCCCCGCGUGGGGGGAACAGCCGGCCAGACCCGCGGGCCUACAGCUGAGGGCCGCCGGGGGUUGGGGGCGGGGGAUGCCGGGCUGCCGCAUCAGCGCCUGCGGCCCGGGGGCCCAGGAAGGGUCGGCGGAACCGGGAUCCCCGCCGCCGCCGCCGCCCCGGGGGCCCCUGUCGUGCCCUCAGCCCCCAUCCCCAAGUCCGACCUUGACCCCUACCCGGGCUCAAGCCUCAUCGCAGCCCGAAGCGGCCCAGGAGUCGGCGGGCUCCGCUGAGGGGCUGGAGCUGCAGCGCUGGCGCCAGGGCGCUAGCGGGGGCGCGGGGGGCCCCGGGCCGGCAGGGGGCGCGGGCGGCGGCCCGGGUGCGGCGGCGGCGGCGGCGGCGGCUGCAGGCGUCCGCGCGCUGGAGCUGGCCGAAGCGCGGCGGCGACUGCUGGAGGUGGAGGGCCGCCGGCGCCUGGUGUCAGAGCUGGAGAGCCGCGUGCUGCAGCUGCACCGCGUCUUCCUGGCGGCCGAGCUGCGCCUGGCGCACCGCGCCGAGAGCCUGGGCCGCCUGGGCGGUGGCGUGGCGCAGGCCGAGCUCUACUUGGCGGCGCACGGGCCGCGCCUCAAGAAGGGCUCGCGCCGCGCCCGCCGCGCCCGCCCGCCCGCGCUGCUCGCCUCGGCGCUGGGUCUGGGUGGCUGCGUGCCCUGGGGCGCCGGGCGCCUGCGGCGGGGCCGCGGCCCCGAGCCGGAGUCGCCCUUCCGCCGGAGCCCGCCCCGCGGCCCCGCCUCACCCCAGCGCUGACCUCCGGCGCCGGGACCCCUGGCCACCCCGAGAGACCACCGCCCGGGUGCCGACCGAUGGACUGCGGACGCCGGCUGGGUGGAACGACGUCACCGACGCGGAUGGACAGAUUGGCCGACCACAGAAAGAGACAGUCGGGGGGCCGGGGGCCCAGUAAAGAAGGAGAAACCGAGCUGCUCAGACCAGUGGGGAUCCCAGCCAAGGACAGAGGCCCAAGGGAGCUCGCCCCAGGAGCCCCCACCCCUUCCAGGGCGGGAGCCAGUGGAGCCCUUUUCCAAAAUAUUGCCCGUGCGCCUUCUCUCCACAAUGGCCUCUCUUAAGGAGCUCCUCCCAGCUCCUCCCGAGCCUCAACUCAGGAUCUCACUUCUGGAUUCUGCUCCUUUCACCUCCUUCAGGAAGACUUCUCUAAUCAGCCCUGCACAAGCGCAGCACCCUCCUCACCUCAAAGGAGCCCCUCACUUGACAGUGGCAAGGGGCUGGGUUCUAGGGAAGUUGCCUCUACUAGGAAUUUAUAUAUUCCCGCAUUUGACUCUGGCUUACAUGGUACAACUGGGGAUGUUACAAGUCCUUUGAGAUGCAAUCAGAUAACAGAGCAGCAAACCUUUCCACUGAGAAAAGGAUUUCUCUUUAAAAAACAAGUCUCAGCGCAGCUGGGGUCCCCAUUUUGGUAGGUGCCGUUGCUGCUCAGUCGAACAGUGGCAGGAGGGCUGUUUGAGGGAAAACGUUGCUCUGAACAGUCCCUCAGUUUUCUUUGCCCACCAUCCUUGCCCUGUGUGGGUGCCUGCCUGCGGCCCCUCAGAAAGAUAAUGGGCUGCUGGCUCCCAGGGGAGACGCCUCUUUCUCGGGAAGAGGGGUUGACCACAUAAAAAUAUUAAGUUUUAAAUGAAAAAAGGGAGCACUUGAUUCAAAUAUCUUGAUGGUAGACGGAAGGGGGCCACAUGGACUCACACGUAACCCAGAACUUGUAGAAUUCCGCGAAAGGAACGCAUAUGGAGUCAGUUGCCUGUUGUGUGCAUUCAGGAAGAAUAAAUCUCAGUGAUGUGAGAUCA